GGGCCAGUGGCGCAAUGUCGCAAUGGAUAACGCGUCUGACUACGGAUCAGAAGAUUCUAGGUUCGACUCCUGGCUGGCUCG